CGAGCGGCAUCGGGAGAGUCCGCGUGCCACCCGCGCGGCGCCGAAGGAGCAACCGCCCCGGAAACUCUCAGGCAAACGGACCGAUGCCGUGGA
rnacentral:ncRNA from 2 species